GUGCCUCCGGGGUCAGGAGCUUGCGCUCGUUCCAGAGCGUAGCGCAGGGCUGAGGGGAUCGACUCAUUGGCUGGGCAGGAUACUCCCCAGCCAGGACGGUUGUCUAGGAGGCACGCCUAUGCCGCCCUGAACAGGGCGCACACCCUUUGGGGGUCUCUUGCUGAGAUCAGGCAGGCACAUACCAUCAGGAGGGACUUCUAAGGUGCACCAGAGAUCAGGCCGAGGGAGUCAUCUGCAGAGUCCGGAUCCAAAACGGAUCCUCUUCCGCACUCGGAGGCCCACACAGGGGCAGCGCUCCCAGCUGCAGCCCUACAGGACUGGAAACAACGGGAACAGGAAGGACUCUGCUGGGAAGCUGGAAGGUGGCUCGGGAGUGGAGUGGAAACCACUUCAAAGAAGCAGUCUUGCUGAAUCAUGGCCCGUUG
rnacentral:lncRNA from 1 species